AUAUGCUGAAAAGACAUUAAUGUUGGCUUCUUUUCCAAACAGUGUAACUUUAGAAGACCAACUUGGCUACUUUGCUGAACCAUGUCAACCUGCACUCAAAGAGGAGUCAAGCUUUGCACCAAAUGAUGCAAUGGAGGGACCUUUAUCACAGGCAGAGUGGAGAAAUGUCUACCUCAUGGACUUUGAUCCUGUCAACCCGUUGUUGGUGUGUAUGGUUUGUGGAGAGCAGCAGUACUCUGUGAGUGUGGAAGGCGUCAAGGCUCACAUUGAGGAGGCGCAUCCUGAUACACUAUCAUUGGGAGACCUUGAACAACAAGGCAUUCUCGAUGCCUGGGAUAAACAGGUGGCAGUCCGAGAGCACUUCAUCACCCACCAGCUUCAACAGCGAUGCAGAGCUUCUACAGAACGGAAUUUAACCUGCCCGGUCAAAAUUGAAGCUAAGGUCAAGGCCGAAGACUUUGAGUGAACUGAUGGGUGACUGACAGACAAUACCCGUCUUGUUCUGAUGGCCAUCUAGUUGAUGAGGUCUUCGCAGGGGAUCUGUCUCUGUGGCUCAUCUAGUUGACGUGGUCUCCGCUGACGUUCACUAAAACCUAACUUCAUGUCUUAAUGAUUUAAGAUUCUGUUUUCUUACAUUUUCUUUGUAAGUUCCAUCAGUCACGUAAGAGAUCAAUAUCAAAAUGUUGAUUCACCCUUUUUUCACUACUGAGCCUCAUUAACUGUACGUUUAAAUUCUGGUAAUACUCCAAACAGUGCAUUUACAGAACCUGUAAAUCAGGUUACAAAAUAAGAUCCAUCUAUAAAAACGUUAACACACACAACAACUGGCAUGUUAUCCUGUAAUCUAAAGAACUGC
rnacentral:lncRNA from 1 species